rnacentral:tRNA from 3 species
GCCGUGAUAGCACAGUUGGUAGUGCAACGCACUCGUAACGCGUAGGUCGCAGGUUCGAGCCCUGUUCCCGGCACCA